UACGUAGGGAGCAAGCGUUGUCCGGAAUCAUUGGGCGUAAAGCGCGCGUAGGCGGCCCUGUAAGUCCGUUGUGAAAGUCAAAGGCUCAACCUUUGAAAGCCGAUGGAUACUGCAGGGCUAGAGUCCGGAAGAGGCGAGUGGAAUUCCUGGUGUAGCGGUGGAAUGCGCAGAUAUCAGGAGGAACACCAAUGGCGAAAGCAGCUUUCUGGGACGGUACUGACGCUGAGACGCGAAAGCGUGGGGAGCGAACAGG
rnacentral:rRNA from 1 species